UACGUAGGGGGCAAGCGUUGUCCGGAAUUAUUGGGCGUAAAGCGCGUGUAGGCGGCUCGGUAAGUCUGCUGUGAAAGUCCAAGGCUCAACCUUGGAAAGCCGGUGGAUACUGCAGGGCUAGAGUCCGGAAGAGGCGAGUGGAAUUCCUGGUGUAGCGGUGGAAUGCGCAGAUAUCAGGAGGAACACCAAUAGCGAAGGCAGCUCGCUGGGACGGUACUGACGCUAAGGCGCGAAAGCGUGGGGAGCGAACAGG
rnacentral:rRNA from 1 species